GACAGAGGGUGCAAACGUUGUUCGGAAUUACUGGGCGUAAAGCGCGUGUAGGCGGUCAGGCAAGUCGGAUGUGAAAUCCCGUGGCUCAACUACGGAAGUGCACCCGAAACUGCUUGACUUGAGUCCCGGAGAGGAAGGCGGAAUGCUUGGUGUAGAGGUGAAAUUCGUAGAUAUCAAGCGGAACACCGGUGGCGAAGGCGGCCUUCUGGACGAGGACUGACGCUGAGACGCGAAAAGCGUGGGGAGCAAACAGG
rnacentral:rRNA from 1 species